AUGCGCCAGCUAAGGCUCGUAACCAACAUGAGGGCUCAUAAUGACACCUGGUUUGUGGAUUACUUGCUAAGGGUAGGCAAUAGCACCGAGGAAGUUGAUGAUCAAGGAAACAUACGACUCCCUGAAGAUAUUUGUGUGCCGUCUAUAGGCGAGGUUGACGACCUGGAGAAGCUGAUUGACCAUGUGUUUCCGAGUCUAGAUGACAACAUGUCUGAUCCAAAUUACAUGACUUCUCGCGCAAUCCUCUCCACCACGAAUGACAACAUCGACAAGAUAAACAUACACAUGGUAGAU
rnacentral:rRNA from 1 species